GUCUGAUAGCAACAAGUAGAAAUUUACAUUUGGCAUCAAUUGCCCUCAGUGCUAACUAGGAACAGAAGCCACAAAACUGGGAAGCUAGCAGCGAUAAAUUUACAACCUUGACAAAGAGAGAAAUAUGAAGAUGAAGCUAAUGGUUUCGAGCUCUCUCAGUCCAGAGGCAGUCAUCCUGUUGUUGAAGUAACAUCUUUCUACCUUUCUCAGGAUGAAAUAGCUAAAAUUCAUUUUAUCAGCUGAGAGAGGGGAAAAUAUGACACACAGACUGCCUGGUUAUAGGACUGUCAUGCUGUGGAGUCCCAUCUGCCCUUCCCAAUAAAUGUGAGCAAAUUACCCCAUUUCUUUGCUGGUUCCCUGGUUGCGGGCUGCAAGACAGUCCUGCCUUCUCAUGUAAUCAGAGCAGUAAACUGCUUUCAGCUCUGUCAGACACCAAAACCUUCCCCAUGUCCCUCAUCUGUAGGACUUGCACCCAAGCAGCAAGUGCUUUGAGCUCAUGCCCAUUUCCUCUAGGAACCUAGAGGAGUCUAGAACUAGUGAGAACCCAGGCGUCCUGUCUGCUCUGCUGUGUUUUUGCUGUGCAAGACAUCUCUGUUCUCUUCUAAAGGAGUAUCAAUUGCUCUGAGGUUGCCAAAGUUCUCCUAUCUGGUAAGACUGAAAGGAGAAAGGAGGAAGAGAGAAUCUUCAAAAUGUUUAAAGGCUUGCUGAAAACAGAGCCCAGUGCACGGGAACUAAACCUGCAAUGGCCCCAAACUGAUCCUGAGGAUCAGGCACAAAUCCAGGGUCACAACGGUGCCUCACCACCAGUGUUUGCUUCCUUCUUGAAUCCAUACAGAGAGCCAGCCCUGGCUAGAUCUUUUUAA
rnacentral:lncRNA from 1 species